UUCUCACGACGAGAUUUUUAAAUUAAAAUUUAAACUAUCAAACUCAACGUAUCCCGCCCUCUGAUUUUCGCAAAUGUUAUCAAGCAGCUGAUUCAUGCCUUCUCAGUCUUAGCUUGAUGAUUCUAAUCCUUCUUCCGCGAGUGGUCGUGAUCACAAAGGAAUGGUUCCAGUGAAAAUGAAGCUGAUAAGUGAAGCUUGGCAGUCGGGUGAUGACAAAUCAAAUUUCGUGGUUAGCGGUUCACAGGUCACUAAGGUUACGGUUGGAAUGGUGUUCGGCAAAUAGGAAAGGACUUCUGAUGUCACUUUCACCCUAGAUGAUGGGACUGGGCGAAUUGAACACAAAGGAUGACUCGUUAGAAUCUUUGCUCUCUUCGCAAUUUGGCAUUGAUGGACUCGAGGAACGUAAUCAACUGGUCCUGGAUUAUCUGCAGCAACCUUCAAUCAGCUGGAUCGUCCAUUGGGGAGACUACUGUUCAAAUGCAUGUGCUGCUUUCUAAUCGUAUCAAUCCUCCAGGGCCCCUUGUCCUUCAUCGGUACAAUUAUUGAUUGAAUCUUCUUCCUACAAUCCAACAGCUGAGUAGGGGGCCAUGUGGAAGUGUUCUGGUGGUGUCACCUAGUUGCAGUGCUGUAGUAAUAAAGUUGUGGUCGAUUCCCGUUUCUGGUACGUUGAUUGGUAUUAUAAUGUCGUUGAACAA